UCGCCGCCGGCUACCGCCGGCGCGCGGCCGCCGGCCUGGCGCGACGGCUGGUCAAGCGGCUGUUCGAAUCCGCCGGCGCCUGA
rnacentral:tRNA from 1 species